rnacentral:rRNA from 1 species
AACGCGAAGAACCUUACCUGGGCUUGACAUGUGAGUGACCGGCGUGGAAACACGUCUUCCCUUCGGGGCACUUUCACAGGUGGUGCAUGGCUGUCGUCAGCUCGUGUCGUGAGAUGUUGGGUUAAGUCCCGCAACGAGCGCAACCCCCGUCGCAUGUUGCCAGCAUUUAGUUGGGGACUCAUGCGAGACUGCCGGUGACAAACCGGAGGAAGGUGGGGAUGACGUCAAGUCCUCAUGCCCCUUAUGUCCAGGGCUACACACGUGCUACAUUGGCGCAUACAGAGGGCUGCGAUACCGCGAGGUGGAGCGAAUCCCUUAAAGUGCGUCUCGGUUCGGAUUGCAGGCUGAAAUUCGCCUGCAUGAAGGCGGAGUUGCUAGUAAUCGCGGAUCAGCAUUGCCGCGGUGAAUACGUUCCCGGGCCUUGUA